rnacentral:misc_RNA from 1 species
GAUGAAGAACGCAGCGAAAUGCGAUAAGUAGUGUGAAUUGCAGAAUUCAGUGAAUCAUCGAAUCUUUGAACGCACAUUGCGCCCCUUGGUAUUCCAUGGGGCAUGCCUGUUCGAGCGUCAUUUGUACCUUCAAGCUCUGCUUGGUGUUGGGUGUUUGUCUCGCCUCUGCGUGUAGACUCGCCUUAAAACAAUUGGCAGCCGGCGUAUUGAUUUCGGAGCGCAGUACAUCUCGCGCUUUGCACUCAUAACGACGGCGUCCAAAAGUACAUUUUUACACUCUUGACCUCGGAUCAGGUAGGGAUACCCGCUGAACUUAAGCAUAUCAAUAAGCGGAGGA